UCAUAGCGACCUCGAGAGGGUGACCGGCCACAUUGGGACUGAGACACGGCCCAAACUCCUACGGGAGGCAGCAG
rnacentral:rRNA from 1 species